UGUUUUGGCCUGAUCCACAGCCCACUGAAGUCAAUGGGAGUCUUUUCACUGGCUCCAAUGGGAUUUGGAUCAGACACUUAAUCA
rnacentral:pre_miRNA from 1 species